UAGAAAGACCAGAAAACCUAAACACUUUCAUUUAUCUUCUUCCUUCCUUUAUCUCAACAGAUCGGCCACUUCCUCUCUCUCUCUCUCCAUGCAGCUGCUACCCCUCCUCUCUCUUUGAUCCAGUGAAACAUCAAGAAGGCGGAGAUGGCCGCCUCUCCCCGUCCCUCUCUUUUCUUCUCCUUAUCUCCCUGCAGCAGCGCAAGAACCACCAAGUGUUGGCCGCCUCUGCUUUUGUCCGGUGGAUAGCAGCUCGGCAAGAGCAACGAGAAGAAACAACAAGCAUUAGGACAAAAGAAUAAGUACCAGUGGUGAGAAGCCCACGACGAAGAAGAAGCUCUGGUAAGGGGCGUAAGGCAGCACCGCUCAACUCCUCUCCUCUUCUCCUUGGCUCCGGGGAGGACAACCAACAGCAACAACAUCCAAGCGAGGAUCACUAGAGUCAACAGCCAGCUAGGAAAGAAACAAUAGCUCCAACAAACAAGAAUCUCCGGGCGAGAACUUUGAACAAGUGAGGUCCGAUGGAAGUUUUGAAAUUUUGAUUUGGUCAAAAGACGAAUUUGUAACAGAUCCGUCUAGGGAUUUCAAACAUUGAGUUUAAGUGUUGAAGAGUAACUUGAGAGAGAUCUCCGGACAAGUUUAUUAUUGAAAUUUUUGUUAAUGUUGUAUAUAUUAUUAGUUAUUCUUAGGCUUGUAAUAUUUUAUAUUACAUGUUACUUGUUUAUUUUAUCAUAACUUAUAAAGUUAGAAAGCA